rnacentral:misc_RNA from 1 species
CUGAGUUGCAAAACUCCAACCCUUUGUCAUUCUUUACUCUGUCAGUUGCCUCGGUGGGCGGCCCCAGGGCGGGCUCGCGUCCGCCUGCCGAAGGCCCAACUACAAAAACUCUUUUAUAUCUAGUAUCUUCUGAAAAACAUAACAAAAUAAGUUA